CCGGCAGGGCACUGAAAGCCCCAGCUCACCCGUAAGUGUAGCCUGUGGCCUCGGAGAUUGUGUGCUGCUUCCUAAGAAGCCUUGUAGCCGUGGAGUCAGCAUCGUCAGCAUUUGGUGCAGGAUCAGGCAGCCUAAUUUCUAGAGAAAUCCCUCCCUCUCAUUUAAGGAGCCCAUCGCUGUAAAAUGCAAACUUCCCCAGGAGCCUGAAUGUUAGCUGGGACCUGAGAAAAAGUCCAAGAAUAUGGCCCCGACCUCUCUGGGACUGUGAAGAAGACCAUUUGUAAUACAGCUGAUCCAGGAGGCGAGGCACCUGGGUGCUCAAAUAAAACCCUUUGCUCUGUUUCGUAGGAAGCCUCCAAGACCACAUCCCCUGACAUCCUAAGUGAUGUGAGUCUGGCUGAGCAGCACCCACUGGAGGAUGAAUGCUCAUCUGGAAAUACAGGAGUUUCUGGAGCCAUGUCUGAAAAAUGCAGCAAAAAUGGAUCAGGGUUUCCACCCAUCUCAGCCCACUGAGCUCGUGGUGAGGGCAAGACAGCAGCAGAGGGAAAGAGCAUGCCAUCUGAAGUCACAGGCUCCUAGCACCAGCUCCACCACUUAACAGCUGUUUAUCCCCUGUGAGUCUCAGUUUCCUGAACUAUGAGAUGGAGACACCUGUAACACGCCUGUUUGCCUCACAAGGUUGAGAGGAUUGGUUGAAGUCAAGCCGCUGAAAGCACACUGCAAACUGUAAAGUUCUAUGUGAUUUGUUUUUACCAACCAAACCACAAUCCAUUGCCAGACAGUUCUUCAAAUAAGGGACAGACUUCUGGCUGGGCGUGGUGGCUCAUGCCUGUAAUCCCAGCACCUUGGGAGGCCGAGGUGGGUGGAUCACCUCAGGUCAGGAGUUCGAGACCAGCCUGGCCAACAUGGUGAAACCCCGUCUCUACUAAAAAUACAAAAAUUAGCCAGGCGUGGUGGCCGGCACCUGUAAUCCAGC
rnacentral:lncRNA from 1 species